UCACAGGCUGUACAGACUGGGACAGUACUGUUCAUCAAUAAUCUGAAAAAUAAAAAAUUCUUGAGUUCAAAAGAUGCCGUUGUCAGUGUUGCUGGCAAGGAUUUGACAAUGGAGUAUUUCGAGAGGAAUGGUUUUAAUAAACCUAUUCUAAUAAACAAGAAGGAUGACCUAGGGUUGGUUGUACCUCAUCCGGACUUUACUGUUUUGGAUGUUGAAAGAUAUAUUGGAUCAAUGAAAGAACUGGAUGUGAUAGAUGUCUGUAAACAGG